GACGAACCGUGCGAACGUUAUUCGGAAUCACUGGGCUUAAAGCGCGUGUAGGCGGGCGGGAACGUCGGUUGCUGAAAUCCCCCGGCUCAACCGGGGAACCGCGGGGCAUACUGGCGGGCUUGGGCCACUCAGGGGCAGACGGAACAGGCGGUGGAGCGGUGAAAUGCGUAGAUAUCGCCUGGAACGCCGAAGGUGAAAACAGUCUGCUGGGGGUGUGCCGACGCUGAGACACGAAAGCCAGGGGAGCGAACGGG
rnacentral:rRNA from 1 species